GGGACUUCUGGGAGUCAUCUGGUCCAAGAGUGGAUAUCUGCACUAGUAGAAAGAUUAUUUUGUGUUAUUUCAUUCUCUCCAAACUGGGCAAGUGUUGCCAUGCACAUUUUGAAGUGAUGGCCUGCCAUCAUACUCAGCCAAGUUUCAUUGAAGGUAACAAGCUUCACCUUAGAAAGGGCAGCAGAGUGCAUAGCAAGGACCUCAACAUCCCAGCAUGUUGCAGACAAGCCUCAGAGCCUGCAGAGCAGCCACGGCAUUCCCAGCACCUUCAGUCAAUGUCAACAAUCUUUCCAGACCACCACCUGUGCCAUAAAGCUGGGGAGAGAUGAGACUCUGAGGAGUCCCACACUCUUUCCAAGUAACUCAGUCUCACACUUGAGAGACAGUGAUCCUGCUGGCCAGAGAGGAGGCAGGCUGCCAGCACUGCACAGGAAAGGGGUUUGCUGAUCAUUCCUUGAAGCAGAAGCAAUAACUUCAGUCACCAGGGCUGUCUUUCAGCAGCACAGAACUCAUGU